rnacentral:rRNA from 1 species
UUGACCUCGGAUCAGGUAGGGAUAUCCGCUG